AUUGAACGCUGGCGGCAUGCCUUACACAUGCAAGUCGAACGGCAGCACGGGAGCAAUCCUGGUGGCGAGUGGCGAACGGGUGAGUAAUAUAUCGGAACGUGCCCAGUCGUGGGGGAUAACGUAGCGAAAGCUACGCUAAUACCGCAUACGAUCUACGGAUGAAAGCGGGGGAUCGCAAGACCUCGCGCGAUUGGAGCGGCCGAUAUCAGAUUAGCUGGUUGGUGAGGUAAAGGCUCACCAAGGCGACGAUCUGUAGCUGGUCUGAGAGGACUACCAGCCACACUGGAACUGAGACACGGUCCAGACUCCUACGGGAGGCAGCAGUGGGGAAUUUUGGACAGUGGGCGCAAGCCUGAUCCAGCAAUGCCGCGUGCAGGAUGAAGGCCUUCGGGUUGUAAACUGCUUUUGUACAGAACGAAACGGUCCAUUCUAAUACAAGGGGCUAAUGACGGUACUGUAAGAAUAAGCACCGGCUAACUACGUGCCAGCCGCCGCCGUAA
rnacentral:rRNA from 1 species